rnacentral:lncRNA from 1 species
AAUGGCUCCUGGAUUCAAGAGGAACUCAGCCUGAAUUUCUGUUUGAGUGCCCAUUAGAUUGAGGAUUUUGUUAAUGACCAUGUUACCAGUGGGUUAAGGCUGACCUGAAGAUUCCUAGAAAAAUGCCCAUCUUUAAAUUAUGUUUGAAUAAAUGGGGUCCUGCUCCGUCACCUAGGCUGGCAGUACAGUGGUGUGAUCACGGCUCACUGCAACCUUGAACUCCUGGGCUCAAGCGAUUUUCCUGCCUCAGCCUUCCAAAUUGCUGGGAUUAGAGACAUGAGCCACUGUGCCCAGUCUCUCCCUUUACAUUUCAAUCAUCUAAGCAAGCUGAGAAUAAGAGACAUGACUUGCCACAUUCAAGAAGCUGAAAGUGAAGUAACACACAUUUACCUGAUUCCAGAGCCUGUGUUGUUUUGCUGUGGCCCAUUGCCCCACAAGCCUCCAGUGACACCCAGACCUAGAACUAGAGGCCUGGGAAAGUACCAGAUUAGAGUUUAGGGCUACAAGAUGAUAAAUGAUGGACUUAGUCCAGAGUGUGCAUUUUAAUGGGGUAACGCCUAAAGGAUGAAUUCGGUACUGUGAUACUUAGGGUAUUUGCUUAUUUAUUUAUUUUGUUCUUACUCUUAUGUGGCAUAAUUGCAUUUAUGAGAUAAGACAUUAAAAACUAUUCUAUCCUCAGAAUGGUUUGUGUCAUCUGCUCUUUGAGAGUUAAUUUUUUGUUCAUGUGUUUGUUUAACUACAUGGAAUUUGAAGAUAAAUGUCAAUGGUCAGAUUUUCUUUUUUUUUUUGGCAGCCUUACUUUGUCACCCAGGCUGGAGUGCAGUGGCACGAUCUCAGCUCACUGCAGCCUCCGCCUCCCGGGUUCAAGUGAUUCUCCUGCCUCAGCUUCCCAAGUAGCUGGGAUUACAGGCGCCCGCCACCAUGCGUAGCUAAUUUUCUUGUAUUUUUAGUAGACACAGGGUUUCACCAUGUUGGUUAGGCUGGUGUCAAACUCCUGACCUCAAGUGAUUUGCCCACCUUGGCCUUCCAAAGGGUUGGCAUUACAGGUGCGAGCCACUGUGGCCAAGGUCAUAUUUUUUUUCCACAAGUAUGUAAUAGAGAUUUAGGAAAGCCAUAGUUGGCUAUAUUCAAGGAAAUUAAAUUGUUUUUAAAUAAAAAUCCAUGAAACUACAAUAUACAAAAGUUAGUAAGCAUCAUAAACAUGAAGUAAACUAGAAGUAUGUACUAGAGAGCAUUAUUCCUUAUUAAGUGUUAAGAAAAGUUUUAUUAAUAACAUUAAUUCUCUAGAUAAUCACUUUUUAUAUCCUUUCAAGAUGUCUCUAUCUUGAAACAUUUAUCUGCCACAUUAUAAAAAUAGAUAUUAUUUUAUUCAUUUAUAGAAUACUCACUGUGUUUAAGGCACUAUUCUGGACAUCGAGCUGCAAUAGUGAACAUAAUCAAGUUUCUGCUCUCAUUAAGCUUUGCUUCUAGUGAAGACACAAAUAACAAAUAACUAAACAAAUGAGUAAUCUAAUAUUUCUAUAUGUAUUAGUUAGAGCUAAGUACCCCCUGCUCCUCCAAGCUUCCAAGCCUCCAAGCCUCCCUCCUCCAAAAUGACUAAAAUCAUGUAUUUUUCUUUCCAUAGUCUUAAGGUGCCUGGUAGUGAGUAGCUCAAUCCCUGUGCACAUUAGAAAGAAUUAGGAUUCCUUCCAGGUAUCUGCUGCACCAUCUCCUAUGGCAUUGUUGGCUGAUUAAGCUAGGUCACCAUUACAUACAGGUGACAGCUGCCAGGAGGAUCUUAAGCUACCAGCGGCUUCCCCGCAGCACAUUGUAUUGGAGGGAACUUAGAAAUGAAAGGAUGCCAAUGAACGUGUGGCUAGGUGACCAUGUGGUCAGCUUCAAUUCCAUUACUUUGGAAGGAGAAGAGAGAGGAUUUUAAUGGCUAUCUAGUAGUCUCUGCAUAAUUUUGUACAGUUGUUUAACAACAUAGGAGAUGAUUAUGGAGAUUAUUAUGGUAAAUUGUCAUAAAAAUUUCUCUACAAGCGUUGAUUAACCAUUCUACUGGAGCAUACAGUUUGUUUCCAUUGUUUUAUUACUAUGGACAAGUUAAAAUAUUAGUGGUUCAUGAUUACAUUUUUUAUUAUCUCCUUAAGGUAUAUUUAUAGAAAUAAACUUACUAGUAAUAUUUGGACAACUUUACUUGUUGUUAAUCAUUUUCCAAAAGUAUUAUAUACAUUUUCAUUUACCUAUAGAAUUUUUUUCACACUCUUGCUAGAAAUGAACAUGGAUCUUGUUACUUAUUAAUAUGAGAGACAAAACCACUAUCUUGUUUCAUUAAAUAUUUCUUUGAUUACUAUUUGUCUGAUUUUUUCUCCAGUAUUUUUUAGGUAAUUACAUUUCUUUCAUGUACCUGUUGGGAUACUUCAAUUACAUUGUAUAAAUUGUUAUAGAUUAAGUAUUAAUCCUUUGUUAUAUUUGUUACCAGUGUGUGUUUUUCUUAAGUACUUUUAAAUAUUGUACUUUUAAAUGUUAUAUGGAAAAUAUACUUUUAAAAUAUACAAUUAUGUUCUAGUAAUAACACUUAUUAAAACUUCCA